AAACUUGACACCGUCUGGUUCAUGUAAACAUGGUAAAGGCUGCAGCUUAUCAACUUACAAUUGAGUUAGUGUUUCAUAGUCUUCAUCACUUAAGAAUGCUGGAAUGUCAAAGUUCAACCGGUGACAGUCAGCUGGAAGCAUUUUCCUGAUAUUAGUAAGCAGAUUCACAACAUCUGAGUGGGAGAACAUGUCACUGGUCUUUGCUGCUCUCAGAAGAUGAAGUGCAUCACUAGAAAAGAAAGUGUUCUCCAAAUGUUUGUAGCAGCAUCUGCUUUUUGGGUGGAUAAAAACGCCGCAAUUAAUAAACGCCUGGGUUAUUGCUGUUGAUGGUAUGUUAAUAAUGUGAUUGCAUCUUGACGAAUCUUUAUGACAAAUAACACACCAUUUGUGGGAUCUAGAUGCAGCAGGGAUAUUAAGAUGCACUGUUUUUGGACUCGAUGGAUUCGUUAUUUUCGCUUCAUAAAUAAAGUCAGGAUCUGCUAAAUCCUCUUCCAGAUCUUGUUGAACAUGCUGUACAUGUGGAAGACUACGAUACACUCUUGAAAAACAUGAUCCACAGAUGACAUCAUCACAAUGAGUUUGCCGUCCAAGGCGUUCCUGGAUAUACCGUUUAUAUGCCAGCCCAGGUGGAAUAUGUCGCCUCGAGUUUUCUUUGCAUCUUUUAAAACAAAGGCAGCAUUGGUAUUGUUUUAACUUUGGCAUCUAUAAAAGAAAAAGCAAUCAUUUUUAAUAAUCAGUUUAUGAUUUUUUUUAGAAAGAAGUUAAGAGGUGCGGAGAUCUUUUUAAAUAUGAAGAGGGAAAAUCUACAUACGCAUUCUACAUGUAUUUUGUUUUCCGAAUUAAAUACUUAUAAAUUCC
rnacentral:sRNA from 1 species